AUUGAACGCUGGCGGCAUGCCUUACACAUGCAAGUCGAACGGUAACAGGGAGCUUGCUCCGCUGACGAGUGGCGAACGGGUGAGUAAUGUAUCGGAACGUACCAUUCAGUGGGGGAUAACGUAGCGAAAGUUACGCUAAUACCGCAUAUUCUGUGAGCAGGAAAGCAGGGGACCGCAAGGCCUUGCGCUCUUUGAGCGGCCGAUGUCAGAUUAGCUAGUUGGUGAGGUAAAGGCUUACCAAGGCGACGAUCUGUAGCGGGUCUGAGAGGAUGAUCCGCCACACUGGAACUGAGACACGGUCCAGACUCCUACGGGAGGCAGCAGUGGGGAAUUUUGGACAAUGGGCGCAAGCCUGAUCCAGCCAUGCCGCGUGAGUGAAGAAGGCCUUCGGGUUGUAAAGCUCUUUCGGUCCGGGAACGAAAUCGCAUGGGUUAAUACCCUGUGUGGAUGACGGUACCGGAAUAAGAAGCACCGGCUAACUACGUGCCAGCACG
rnacentral:rRNA from 1 species